rnacentral:rRNA from 1 species
AUUGAACGCUGGCGGCGUGCUUAACACAUGCAAGUCGAUCGGUAACAGGUGUAGCAAUACAUGCUGACGAGAGGCGGACGGGUGAGUAAUGCUUGGGAAUCUGCCUAUUAGUGGGGGACAACCCGGGGAAACGUCGGGCUAAUACCGCAUACGCUCUACGGAGGAAAGCCGGGGACCGCAAGGCCUGGCGCUAAUAGAUGAGCCCAAGUCGGAUUAGCUAGUUGGUAGGGAACGGCCUACCAAGGCGACAAUCCGUAGCUGGUCUGAGAGGACGACCACG